CCCUUAUAAAGGGAGUGAAAUAGAAUCUGAAACCUCAUGCAUACAAUCAGUAGGAGCAUGAUUUAGUCAUGUGACUGCGUAACUUUUGUAUAAUGGGUCAGCGAGUUAUUUUUAGUGGCGAGGAUAACUGAAUAAGGGAUCCGUAGCGAAUGCGAGUUUUAAUAGGGCGACUAGUCGCUAGGAGUAGACCAGAAACCGGCGCGAUCUAUCAAUGGCCAGGUUGAAGAUUAGGUAGUACUAAUUGG
rnacentral:rRNA from 1 species